GAGGAGAUUUAGACUAAUCAGUGACUAAGAGCUGUCUGUCACAUGACCGACUGAGAAAAGCAGUCUGCAUCAAAGCUGUCAAUCAAAGAAGGCCUCCUGUUAUUGGAAAAGGCCCAGCUCAGUUUUUAAUUUCAAAUAAUUUCAGUUUGCAUUUUUGAGGGAGUGAUUUUUAAAUGCUAAAAAAAAAAAUUGACAGAUUACUUAAAGCAGGUGAGUUGGUUUUAAAGUAGUGUGGUUUUGCAGGAUUAUAUUUUGUAACAACUUACAAAAAUGAUAAGUUCACUGCUGUUUCUCAUUCAUUUUUGGGAACACAAUGUCCUGAGGACCUUGGCAUGGCUGAGAUGUGAGAGAGAAGCUCGAUGCUUUUCGUGGAAUGUCUGAGAGUCUGUGAGCUCUGGUGUCUAGGAGAAAUUAGGUAAUUAUCGUGCUCAUGGCCCAGAGAGACAACUCAGCAGGUGAGGGUGCUUGCUUCCAAGGAUGGUGUUCUGGUCUCAGGAGCCAUGAGGUUGUCCCAGGAGCCUCCAUGACGAUGAGGGAAGGAGAGAACUAACUUCCGGGCAUUGCUGCCUUCUACUAAGUACCAUAUCACAUAAGCACCCUCCAAGUAAAUAAAUAUAUUAAAGAUUUAUGAAAAAAAUGAAUCAUGUUAAUAAUUGCAGAAAUAACUAAUUAGCUUUUACAGACCUAAGCAUUCAGUUAUAUGUGUAAUUCCUAUGAAUGUGUAGUGUGUGUGUGCCUCCACAUGUAUGGGCAUGCACAUGCAGGCCAAUGGUUGACACAGGGCAGGCAGUGUCUGCAAUCAUUCCCACUAUGUAAUUUAUUUUUGGAGACGGUCUCAGUAUGUAGCCAUGGUGGCCUGGAAGCCCAGAGACCAGCCCGGCCUCUGCAUCCCCAGUGUAGAAUUAAAGACUUGGGUUCUAACACCUGACCUGCCUUCUACUUUAUUUGUGGGGAAGGACAUUUUCAGGGAUGCUUGGCCUGUCUGGCUGUCCAGGGAGGAGCCCAGGUGCUCGCUUGACUGCUUCUCUAGCACCAGGGUCCCAUGCCCGUGCUUCCGUCACAUCUGGCAUCACAUCUGGGCACUAGGGAUCCAAGCUCAGACCCUUAUGCUUGUGUGGUAAGCACGCUUUGCUGGAUAAGUCAUCUCCUCAGCCUCCAAUUCCCAUAUAUUCCAUAGAGAGGAAUAUGCCACUCACACUUGCCAGUACAGCUGGAAUCUUUUUGUUAAUCUUUUUUAUUUAUUCAGGUUUUUUGUUUGUUUGUUUUGUUUUUUGUUUUUGUUUUCUUAAAAAAAAGAAACCCUAUUAAGCAUUUUACAAGGGUAGACUGCCCAUCAGAAAAAUUCUGUCAGAAGUAUUUGAAAACUAGAUUCUAGCCACCUUUGGUGGUGAGACAGACUAAAUUUACAUCAUUUUUAGUGUGCUUUCUUGGGUACUCUGAGGAUUUUCAAAAGCAUUCCAGUUGGAGCCAGAGGUAGGCAUCUCCAUUCUCUUAAGUCAGAAAGACCUUUUCUUUCUAGCUAAUGGCAUGUUUGAGGAUGGGUAUAUAUGCUCACAAAAAGAGCCACUGCAUUUAUAUACAAUUACAAAUAUCUUGCAUUCACUAACUAUUUACUAACCACCUUCCCUUUAACAUUAACAGUUCUGCUGUGAGACGUACCCUUUGACCUUAGUCAUGGCAAAGAUAUGUGGUUAUUACAUUAUAUAUCCAUUGCGUAGCAUCCAAAUGGCACUAAAAUAUAUCUAGUACAGCAUGCUAACUUUUGGUGACCCCAUCCUUCCCCCCCUAGCAAGCUUACAGAUUGGCUUCAUUCUUAACAGGCUCCUUUGGCGCAGGGCUUCAUGGUCAGAAAUCAUGGGAGUGUUACGCUGGGAGCUUACCUUCCUUUCGGGAGACUUGGAAGACUGAAGAAGCGUCGGUGCCCUUUGUAUCCCGUGGAUGUUCCUGCAUUAGGGCAGGGUGGCGCUGUGGAACUCUCACACUCAAUCUGGAAGAGACAGGGCAGACCCCUGCAGCUGGAAAGUCUGUAGCUUUGACUGUUGCCCAAGGGGGUCUUAAGUGUUUUUAAAGUAGGAGGAGCCAAGGAGAACUCUGGUUUUGAGUAACUUAGUUCUUAGUCUGAGACCUUAACAACUCUGCCUCAACAUCCCCUUCUGAUAUCAAAACAGACAAAGUU
rnacentral:lncRNA from 1 species